CCUACGGGUGGCAGCAGUGAGGAAUAUUGGUCAAUGGGCGGGAGCCUGAACCAGCCAAGUCGCGUGAGGGAAGACGGUCCUAGGGACUGUAAACCUCUUUAGGCGGGGAGCAAUGCCGGGCACGCGUGCCAGGAGGGCGAGUACCCGCAGAAUAAGCAUCGGCUAACGCCGGGCCAGCAGCCGCGGUAAUACGGAGGAUGCGAGCGUUAUGCGGAUUGAUUGGGUUUAAAGGGAGCGUGGGUGGAUUGUGAAGUCAGUAGUGAAAGUUUGCGGCUCAACCGUAAAAUUGCAGUUGAAACUGGCAGUCUUGAGUACAGGAGAGGUAGGCGGAAUUCGUGGUGUAGCGGUGAAAUGCUUAGAUAUCACGAAGAACUCCGAUUGCGAAGGCAGCUCACUGGACUGCAACUGACACUGAGGCUCGAAGGUGUGGGUAUCAAACAGGAUUAGAUACCCCAGUAGUC
rnacentral:rRNA from 1 species